ACAGCAGGCUGAGGCUAUGCUAAUUGUCCUUCAGGGAUUGGCGGAGCAUGAGUUAUCUUAUUAGCAUGGUGCUGCUCCCUCAUUAGCAUAUUACCUGCCAACUGAUGCCAGGUGCAAAGCCUGCGCAUGCGCAGUACCGUUGUUCACCACAGGAGGGCGCUCUACAACUCAGAAGGCAAGAGAACAGCUUAUUGAGUGUUUAAAGUUCAGACAGAUUUUUCCAGCAGGACAGUAAUACUUACAUCCUGGAGUCUCACAGAGGGAUGCAUUCAUAGAUAUCAUCGCUUUUGUUGAUAUCGUGUCCACGUACUCCUAGGUUCUGUCAGUUCAUCUACAACAAUGGGUUCUUUCACACCUGGAAAACUCCUUUGUCCUGGAUGAGCAUCCCCUCUGUCUCAGUGCUGGGAUUCCAGGCAUUGGCCACUAAAUCCAAUGUAGGCAACACUAGGAAGUCAAACACAGGGCCCCUGGCAUGAUAGGGAAGCAUUUGACACAACUGAGCUACAUCAACAGCCGUGUUUCAUAA
ensembl:lncRNA